rnacentral:lncRNA from 1 species
AUAAGCAGACGUCUAGAAUCCCUCCUCCUCUUUGGCUUCUGUCUACUGCAGGAAGCUGCAAGCAUUUUAGAUGACCUUGCAAAGAAAAACUAAAUCAGGUGUCAUGUUCCAAUUCAAAGCCACGAAGCAGUGUGACCCGGGGAGUGGAAAAUGGGACAGAAGAUGGCAAAGAAGAGUCAGUUGAGGAAUUACAAUAAGGAGAUCGUAUGGAAUUUCUGUUCACAAUUAGAAUGAGAAAAUGUGAAAACUGUAAGCUCAAGUUCAUCCCUGAGCAGAGGAGAAGAGCAAACAGCCUGUGACCCGCACCAGCCUAGGACUGAGGGCAUGGGUGACACUGAAACCAUCUACAAGCAACAAACUCUGUGAGUUGUGAU